AUUGAACGCUGGCGGCAGGCUUAACACAUGCAAGUCGAGCGAGCGGCGGACGGGUGAGUAAUGUCUUGGAAACUGCCUGAUGGAGGGGGAUAACUACUGGAAACGGUCGCUUAUACCGCAUACUAUCAGAUGUGCCCAGAUGGGAUGCGCUUGUAGGUGGGGUAAUGGCUCACCUAGGCGACGAUCCCUAGCUGGUCUGAGAGGAUGACCAGCCACACUGGAACUGAGACACGGUCCAGACUCCUACGGGAGGCAGCAGUGGGUAAGAUUGCACAAUGGGCGCAAGCCUGAUGCAGCCAUGCCGCGUGUGUGAAGAAGGCCUUCGGGUUGUAAAGCACUUUCAGCGGGGAGGCGUUACUCGCAGAAGAAGCACCGGCUAACUCCGUGCCAGCAGCCGCGGUAAUAC
rnacentral:rRNA from 1 species